UGAAACAGCCGGAACUAAACUUAUUUCAAGGCCCUGUGAUCCUCCUUGGAAAGACUGCUGCCCUCAGACUUUGGCUCUGAAUUGCACAAUGAAAAGCCUAGAAACUGCAGCCCUGUUUUGCCAGUGCUUCUGGGUAUUUAACAGUUCUUUCAUCAAGGAGAUAUGACAGCUUUCUUAUCAAAUCAGCUCACUAAAAAAAAAAAAAAAAAAAAAAAAAAAAAAAAAAACAAGAGGAAGGGGAAGGAAAAGCUCUCAGCUCACACAGCAUGAAACUCAUUAUUCCUUUCAUUGGAGACAGGCAAGAUUUUUAAUCCGUUUCUCACAAGUGAGUCCGAGUUCAGUAAACCUGGGAUCCCCUUCCACUGACAGAGAAGUAGCUAAUCAAAAGCUGGUUUACAACAGAACCUGAAGGUUCAUUUUUUCCUGGGUUCUGUGGAAUCAAGAUGGCUCUGCUUACUGUGAAUGCCUUCUGCUUGGGACUGGAAAUGUGAGGCCUUUUCCCAGUCAAGAAGCUUGACAGGUGCAUCCAUCUGGAGAAAGAGCCACCUAAAUGCAGGUCCUGUAGUUCUGUAUUCUUUUUGGAUUCACCUUUCAUCCCAAGAUGAUCCUGAAGUGAAAGGUUUUGGAUUGGAUCUUGUGGGCACCGAGCUAUCUACCAUAUUAUCUGCACUCAGCAUCCAGGAACAAAUGUGACUUACUAUAAAGGUUUCCUUUUUUUCAUGACUCUUCUGGGAAACAUGGAUUCCUCUGCUUAUUUUAAAGCAGAAAAGAAGUGUGCAUGAUUCUGGACAUGCUAGGAUUUGGCAUAGAAGUAGCUGAAUGCAAUGGAAAAGCAGACCAGCCUCUUGCUUUACAGCUCUGGGCACCUCUACAUAAAAAACAAAGUUGAAUGGAAAUCUAACGAGAAGAGGAACUUCAGGAAUUCUCAUGGAAAGAUUUAAUUUCUAGAUAAUCACAAGCCUUCUC
rnacentral:lncRNA from 1 species